UUGAAAUUUCGGGAUCUAAUAUUUUCGGUCAUGCCGUUGGUAUGCACUGUUAUCAUUGAUUUCUCACCUUCUAAAGAACCGUAAUGCCAUUAAUUUGGUGUUACGGGGAAUUAGGACUGUUACCUUGAAAAAUUAGAGUAGNNUUAAAGCAGGCUCACGCUUGAAUACAUUAGCAUGGAAUAAUGAAAUAGGACAUCCGAUUCUAUUUUGUUGGUUUCUAGGAUCGAUGUAAUGAUUAAUAGGGAUAGUUGGGGGCAUUAGUAUUCAAUUGUCAGAGGUGAAAUUCUUGGAUUUAUUGAAGACUAACUACUGCGAAAGCAUUUGCCAAGGAUGUUUUCAUUAAUCAAGAACGAAAGUUAGGGGAUCGAAGACGAUCAGAUACCGUCGUAGUCUUAACCAUAAACUAUGCCGACUAGGGAUCGGAUGAUGUUAAUUUUUAAUGACUC
rnacentral:rRNA from 1 species